rfam:Pristionchus pacificus strain PS312 contig7052, whole genome shotgun sequence.
GGGGGUAUAGCUCAGUGGUUAGAGCACCCGCAUACGUAUCGGAAGGUCGGGGGUUCGACUCCCUCUGCCUCUA